rnacentral:rRNA from 1 species
AGGACGAACGCUGGCGGCGUGCUUAACACAUGCAAGUCGAACGAAGCGAUUUAACGGAAGCCUUCGGGCAGAAGAUAAAUUGACUUAGUGGCGGACGGGUGAGUAACGCGUGAGCAACCUGCCCAUAAGAGGGGGAUAGCAGCUGGAAACGGCUGGGUAAUACCGCAUAAGCGCACGGAAUCGCAUGAUUUAGUGUGAAAAACUCCGGUGGUAUGAGAUGGACCCGCGUCUGAUUAGCUUGUUGGCGGGGUAACGGCCCACCAAGGCAACGAUCAGUAGGGGUUCUGAGAGGAAGGUCCCCCACAUUGGAACUGAGACACGGUCCAAACUCCUACGGGAGGCAGCAGUGAGGAAUAUUGGUCAAUGGGCGGAAGCCUGAACCAGCCAAGUAGCGUGAGGGAUGACUGCCCUAUGGGUUGUAAACCUCUUUUAUAAGGGAAUAAAAUACGGGACGUGUCCUGUUUUGCAUGUACCUUAUGAAUAAGGACCGGCUAAUUCCGUG